UGCAAGUCGAGGGGUAACAGGGAGUGCUUGCACUCCGCUGACGACCGGCGAACGGGUGCGUAACGCGUAUGCAACCUACCUAUUACAGGGAGAUAGCCAAAAGAAAUUUUGAAUAAUAUCCCAUAUGAUCAUUUUACUGCAUGGUAUUAUGAUGAAAACUUCGGUGGUAAUAGAUGGGCAUGCGUCCUAUUAGUUUGUUGGUAAGGUAAUGGCUUACCAAGACUACGAUAGGUAGGGGUCCUGAGAGGGAGAUCCCCCACACUGGUACUGAGACACGGACCAGACUUCUACGGGAGGCAGCAGUAAGGAAUAUUGGACAAUGGAGGAAACUCUGAUCCAGCCAUGCCGCGUGCAGGAAGAAUGCCUUAUGGGUUGUAAACUGCUUUUUUAAAGGAAGAAAUACUCAUUCGUGAAUGGGUUUGACGGUACUUUAAGAAUAAGGAUCGGCUAACUCCGUGCCAGCAGCCGCGGUAAUACGGAGGAUCCAAGCGUUAUCCGGAAUUAUUGGGUUUAAAGGGUCCGCAGGCGGCUUGUUAAGUCAGAGGUGAAAUCCUACCGCUCAACGGUAGAACUGCCUUUGAUACUGGCAAACUUGAGUUAUUGUGAAGUAAUUAGAAUGUGUAGUGUAGCGGUGAAAUGCUUAGAUAUUACACAGAAUACCGAUUGCGAAGGCAGAUUACUAACAAUUAACUGACGCUCAGGGACGAAAGCGUGGGUAGCGAACAGGAUUAGAUACCCUGGUAGUCCACGCCGUAAACUAUGGUCACUAGCUGUUUGGCCUGCAUUGGUAGGCUGAGUGGCUAAGCGAAAGUGAUAAGUGACCCACCUGGGGAGUACGCUCGCAAGAGUGAAACUCAAGGAAUUGACGGGGGCCCGCACAAGCGG
rnacentral:rRNA from 1 species